GCAAAAUAAAGAUUUUCAUCAUUUCUCGUAUCAAACAGAAAUUAGAUAAAAAUGUGUUUCAUCUUUUAAUGAUGUUAAUACAGCGAAAGUAAUACUACAGUAUUUUUAAAUUCUUCUUUUGUCUAUUCAUAAACAUUAUUGAUGAAAGAAAUUUGUUUGGGCUAAUUGUAAUUAAAAGCGCAAUUAACGCUUUUAUGUUACUAAUUAUUGUCACAAAAAUUUUUUAAAUCGCCAUUAUUUUUGGUCUUUGAUAUAUGGUAUUAAUAACUGAUAAAGAUCUUGAAUUAAUAAUGGUUUGGAAACAAUAUCUUCAGUGUAAUUUCAUUAUCUCGAUUGUCGUCUCAAUUUUGCUUGUAAGCUGAAUCAUCCCCCGCCCCCCUAAAUUCUACUAGACGUGAUCGAACAUCUUUUGUACAAGGUGACUCACCUAACUGUAAUCAUCUAAAUAUCUUGUUCAAUUACAAUUGAAUACAACAAUAUAAACAAUAUUCUAUAUGCAAUUUGAAUUAUAUCACAGGAUGAAUACGUUGCACAAAAUUUGUCUGCUUUAUCAGUGAGAUUAUCAAUAACGUUUUUGUAUGUAAAUGUGUAUCUUCUUCCCUGUUGUCUAUUAUAGAUGACAUUAAAAGCACCAAGGAAUGUUACUAACAUAAUUUUAAAGUAUUCUUUGACUUACAAAGUCAAAAUCAAACCUUGAAACUUGCUACAAAAAUAUUAUUUAGUGCAUAUUCGUCUUUCGAUACACCAUAAAAAUAGUAUACAAAAUACUUUUUGUAUUAUCACGACCGAAGAGGAUAUCAAUUGCUAUCUUUAGGUGCACCACCUUGCGCGGAAAGUAGUAUGUUUUUAAACUAGGUAAGGAGAAUUUGUGUUAGCAUCAGGUUUAACAGUUUCGAAACAUUCCGUAAAUAGAGCAGAAUAAAAAUUGUGUAUUUACCUUCGACGUAUGUAAUUUUGACGGACCUUUUUAUUCACAGAUCUGACCAGGUCUGCUCCUGUAAAAGGUACCGAAGGUAGGGGCGGCGCAGGCGGAGGUUGUGGCGCCGAUUGGGAUGCAGCUGACUGAGUAGACAAAUUUUGCUGACGUUGUUGUUCCUGUGCAGCUCCUCCGUGAGGACUGGGAAGCUGCGACGUAAUAGCUACGGGUUCACCAACCGCGACCCAUGUGCUACAAGACCUUGAAGCAUGAUCGAGUCUGGUAUGCUCCAAAAGCAAAGUACUUCGUUGGGCAGUGUCUAAGGUCAAGGCAGAGACUGCUGUUCGCAGUCCGCCUGUGUCCAAAGCAUCCGGACUUGGUAACUGAGAGACAUCACUCGUACUGAAGCUUUUGCGAAUGCCAAGCGCGGACGAUAGCAAACCGCAACUACGGAUCAGUUCAUUUUCUUCUUCGAACCAAAGAAUUUCUGGUAUAUCCGCUGGCCUGAAGCACACCAAAUCAUAGACGAUUUUAAGUGGAAAAGUAUUUGUGAACGGAACACAACAAAUAUAUUUGCAUUGAGAGACGUUUCAAAGUCAGAGAAAUAACACACCUGGUAGUUUGAAUUUGACGAAAAUCUGGUUUCGGCGAUGGACCACGGCCAGUGAGAUGUACAUCGGUGUAAGAUUUGAAGGUAACCAGCCUAUUACCGGCGCCCCGUAAUUCGCUUGCUAUCGAGGAAACACUAAAUAGAGAAAGGUCGGUCGUGACGCUUUCAUGACUCGGUGAUCUUAACAUUCGUGGAGUUACUUGAAGUGCAGGACACUGUGUAUUAGUUACACUGUUGCAACAUUGUAUAUGAGCCACCACUGGUAUCGGCGAAGCCCGUUUCCCUUCGCCCUCGGACAUUUUGAAUUUGUUCACUUUUCACUCCCGAGAGUUUUACUCGUAAGAACGCAGAGAUUCUUUGCACCGAUUUUCACAAUUGAUAAUCAUUCUCCUUUACUCGAGAUAAUACAGCGCAUAGUGUGAGUUGCAUCUUAGGAGUGGUGUGUUCGAAUUGGAUCUCUGAUUUAACUUAAAAACUUCUAGGCUUUUAAGAAAAAUGUACGUCAGUUAACUACUUCCAAAAAUACUAAUAUAUUUGAUAAAUUCGUGAUCGACCGUUGUUACUUGUAAGGGAUUACAAAAGAAAUUGCGAAGGUUUACUUUGUCCCACUUAUUUUGAAUGAACCAUUGAAUUAAGAAUUUACCGAAAUAACAGAAAAUCAUUGUUCAAUUUAAAUCGUUAUAAUUUGGCUGAUUAAAUUUCGCGUUUCAAAGUAGAUCGGUAGUCAUGUUUCUAAGCCUGUUGUUAUUCAUAUUGCCAAGCAAUUCGUACAAAGUGCGUAAGACAUACUGGAACUUUGAAGCGUUGUGAUACUCAUGUUUCUAUUCGAUAUGACAUAAUUUACGCGUCCGUAGUCUACUCGGGAUACCUGAAAAGAUAAUAAAUAUCGUGACGUUAAACAUAAAUGACGAAAUUAAAUCAAUAUUCUGCGAUCUUGAUGUUAUGCAGAACUAUGAAUAAUCUAUAUAAUGCAAUGAUGACUAAACUUGUCUUACACGUGUUUCUGAACUACAAAUUGUACCAUCAUUUUGCUUAUCAACUUAAGAUAUUUGUUUUGUUACCACACACACACACACACACACACACAAACGAAUCUUCUACUAUCCUCAACACUGAGGAAUUUUUAAAACUUGAAAUUUUGAUAAUUAAAAUGUUCAUAAUCAAUUUGUUCAAUGACACGAUCCUCUUUAUCAUUACUAAAUGAUUCAAAUUCAAUGUGUCUUAUAACAUCUUGAAUGGGUUUAAUUUUUCUUUUUAUUUAUUGAGAUAUAUCAUUGUCAAGAGGGAUAAUUUUUCGUCCAAUUUCAUUUGAGAACAUUUUUGGGUUACCAUACAUUUCUCAUGGCUUUUUUCUACUUUCCAUCAGUGCACAAUUUUUCACAACAUAGUAAAACAGAAUAAAAAACAGCACGGUACAAGUUUCUUUGUGAAUCCUUUCUGUAGAAAAGUGUAACCUCGAGAAAUUAGUAUUUCUUUUUCGAUAGAUUAAUUCGAAUUACCUACUCAAACUCAUUUUUGCAAAGGAUAUUUUGAGGAAAAAGCCUAAGUAUGCUACAACGCGACAAUAAAGUUUUAUAAUUUUAUCAAUUAUCAAUGCUUCAGCAUAAAAUUUGCGUGAUACAUAUUAAGAUGACUUUUUGAAAUUAUAAAUCUUGUUUAUAACAGUUCAAAAAGAACAAUGUGAUGAGUUACACAUUUUUAAUUACACUUUCAACCUUUAUGUACAUAAUACCAGCUGUGUGUGUGUUUCAUGUUGGCAAUUGCUACAAUACUCCAGUUAUGAUUUUUAAAAAACUGGCACCUUCUAAAUUCAAACCUCAUCACCCAAAAAGUUUGAAAGAUUUAUAGGAUUUUUAUUAGUGCAUCGAGUUCUACAAAUCCGAGAUGAACGCGUUUCAAUUUUUUGAACAGUUAGAACUUUAUUAACUUCAGAAAUUAAUCUCGAAAACCCUAAAAACAGAAAACUGAGGAACUCUUAAGGUACACAUUCUUUACAUACGUCAACACACAAAAUAGCAGUAAACAAUCUUAAACACAUAAAUAAAUAAAAUAAAAAAAUUUAUUAGUAAUUCAUCAUUAAUGUACACAAUGAGAAAAAUCAUAUAUUAAAAGAUGAAUAGAAAUAUACAAUAAAUAUACAAUGUGAUGCAGAAUAGAUAGCGUUACAGUGCAGAAUGAAAUUUUUUCAUUUGAAAUUUAAAUUUCAAGAAAUUAAAAUUUAAAAAAUAUUGGCUGUUACUGUACAGGAAUGUGUUGAGAAAUCUCUAUUCAAGUCUUUCCGGCCUUUUUUCUGACAAUUAUAUAUGUGUAAACGUAAGAGAGCCGCUUCACAUGAGGAUAGGUGCGUCGCUCCCAUUGAAUUACAUGUACGAUCAGUAUUUAUCCUACGCGCCUCGCGAUACAAGCAACCUCGUGUAAGCGGAUCAAAGUACGCGACAAAUUUUUCAAUUCGAUUUUCAAAAUUUUUUAUUUUUUAUAUACUUUCACAUAUAGAAUAACCUAAGAUCCGAUUAUACUAACUAAUCCACGACAAACUAUAUUAAAUAAUCCAUCUAAUUAUCUUCUCUAAUUAUGAUGGUACGAGAAAUGUUCCUUAUUUAAUUUAAGAGUGAUUUUCAAUAGUGAAACGAAAACAAAUUAUAUUUAAUUCUCUUUUCAAGAUUACCUAUGAUUUCUUGUAUAUGUGCAUCUAAUUUAUCCAAUUGUAUAUUAUAGUCAAGUGAUCAUGGUUUUUAAAAUUAGUGUGUUACUUGUGGAUGCCAUUUCCAGUUUCGGAAACAUUUCUCAGAGGAAGUUAGAGAACAUAAUUGAGUGGCUUGUUUUAGGUGAAAUAUUUUUUUGUAUUCGUAUAAAAUAUUUUGUGUACGGGUUGUACGUUAUUAAACUGUUGUACAAAGAAGAAAA